UACGUAGGGUGCGAGCGUUGUCCGGAAUUAUUGGGCGUAAAGGGCUCGUAGGCGGUUUGUCGCGUCGGGAGUGAAAUCCACUGGCUUAACUGGUGGCUUGCUUUCGAUACGGGCAGACUGGAGGUAUGCAGGGGAGAACGGAAUUCCUGGUGUAGCGGUGAAAUGCGCAGAUAUCAGGAGGAACACCGGUGGCGAAGGCGGAUCUCUGGGCCUUACCUGACGCUCAGGCGCGAAAGCUAGGGGAGCGAACAGG
rnacentral:rRNA from 1 species